AAAAAUUAAAAGCAUGUUCUUGUUUGGGAAAUGUAUUUAUUGAUGUAAAUCUUUAUUAUCAGUUAGCAACUACUGUAUAAAUCAUUUUGUAUUUAAAUAAGUUGUAUUACGUAUUUGUAUUCUAAGCUAAAAUAUUAAGAACAAUUUUGAUGUUAAAAUAUUAACCGUUAAAAUAAAAGCUAUAGAAAGAUAGUUAUUUAUUUAUGUACGUAUUUAGAAAUUAUUUCUUUAAAUUGAAAAAUCACUCGCAAUAUCUAUACGGAAAUUACAUAAUGUAUUGCAUGCUUUUGUAAUUGCACCGAAACAAUUAAAAAAGAAAUCUGAAAGCUCUGAACUUUCCGAAUUUUCGAUUAAAUUGCUGUUAUUAAUUCAUAAGAUAGAAACAGACGUAUGUGUUUUUUGUUAAGCACGUCGUGUUUAACUUAAUGAAAAUUACUUACUUACAGAAACAAUAAACUUUAUUUUUAUUCAUAAACCUUGGCGUGAUUUUAUUAAUGGUGAACACCGGGAUCUCCAUGGCUAAAGGUCAGACAGACAGACGGCCUGUUUUGAAUAAACAGAUGCUAUUGAAGGGUAUAUAUAAACAAACUGCGAGCUGCAUGGAUCAUUAGUUGUUUCAGAAGCUUCAGAAACCAGCAAGUG